GGGAUUGGGGGGGGUCCUAAUAAUGCAAGUCGAGCGAACAGACGAGGAGCUUGCUCCUCUGACGUUAGCGGCGGACGGGUGAGUAACACGUGGAUAACCUACCUAUAAGACUGGGAUAACUUCGGGAAACCGGAGCUAAUACCGGAUAAUAUAUUGAACCGCAUGGUUCAAUAGUGAAAGACGGUUUUGCUGUCACUUAUAGAUGGAUCCGCGCCGCAUUAGCUAGUUGGUAAGGUAACGGCUUACCAAGGCAACGAUGCGUAGCCGACCUGAGAGGGUGAUCGGCCACACUGGAACUGAGACACGGUCCAGACUCCUACGGGAGGCAGCAGUAGGGAAUCUUCCGCAAUGGGCGAAAGCCUGACGGAGCAACGCCGCGUGAGUGAUGAAGGUCUUCGGAUCGUAAAACUCUGUUAUUAGGGAAGAACAAAUGUGUAAGUAACUAUGCACGUCUUGACGGUACCUAAUCAGAAAGCCACGGCUAACUACGUGCCAGCAGCCGCGGUAAUACGUAGGUGGCAAGCGUUAUCCGGAAUUAUUGGGCGUAAAGCGCGCGUAGGCGGUUUUUUAAGUCUGAUGUGAAAGCCCACGGCUCAACCGUGGAGGGUCAUUGGAAACUGGAAAACUUGAGUGCAGAAGAGGAAAGUGGAAUUCCAUGUGUAGCGGUGAAAUGCGCAGAGAUAUGGAGGAACACCAGUGGCGAAGGCGACUUUCUGGUCUGUAACUGACGCUGAUGUGCGAAAGCGUGGGGAUCAAACAGGAUUAGAUACCCUGGUAGUCCACGCCGUAAACGAUGAGUGCUAAGUGUUAGGGGGUUUCCGCCCCUUAGUGCUGCAGCUAACGCAUUAAGCACUCCGCCUGGGGGAGUACGACCGCAGCGUUGAUACACAGAGAAUAUUUUUGACACGGGAAUAUA
rnacentral:rRNA from 1 species